UGGCGGACGGGUGAGUAACGCGUGAGUAACCUGCCUUUCANAGGGGAAUAACGUUCUGAAAAGAACGCUAAUACCGCAUAACGUACAGUUACCGCAUGGUAGCAGUACCAAAGGAGCAAUCCGCUGAAAGAUGGACUCGCGUCCGAUUAGCUAGUUGGUGGGGUAAAGGCCUACCAAGGCGACGAUCGGUAGCCGGACUGAGAGGUUGAACGGCCACAUUGGGACUGAGACACGGCCCAGACUCCUACGGGAGGCAGCAUG
rnacentral:rRNA from 1 species